AUUGCUUGUGCGUGAAAGUCAAAUUUCAACAACUCCUGAAAUUAUUGUACCUUCAAUUACAAAACAUAAGCUAGAGAGAAAGAGCGAGACGCAUAUUAUGGUACGAGUUUCCUUUACCCUGAACAAUAACUCAAGAAGCUUUAUGUUAAAAAACCUCAGGACCUUUUGAAAUUUGACUUUCACGCACAAGCAAUACUCUUUAAUUUUCAGUCCAGUUUGCCAUCUGCUACUUCAGCAGAUCCUGAAACAGGCUCCUGUACACCAGGUUCACCUUCUGCCUCAACUUUGCCGGGGCUAUCUUUUUU
rnacentral:misc_RNA from 1 species